CCUACGGGAGGCAGCAGUGGGGGAUAUUGCACAAUGGGGGAAACCCUGAUGCAGCGACGCCGCGUGUGGGAAGACGGUCCUCUGGAUUGUAAACCACUGUCCCCAGGGACGAAGAUGACGGUACCGGGGGAGGAAGCGCCGGCUAACUACGUGCCAGCAGCCGCGGUAAUACGUAGGGAGCAAGCGUGGUCCGGAAUUACUGGGUGUAAAGGGAGCGUAGGCGGGAUGGCAAGUUGGGUGUUAAAUCUACCGGCUCAACUGGUAGUCGCACUCAAAACUGCUAUUCUUGAGUGCAGUAGAGGCCGUCGGAAUUCCUAGUGUCGCGGUGAAAUGCGUAGAUAUUAGGCGGAACACCAGUGGCGAAGGCGGCCUGCUGGGCUUUUCCUGACGCUGAGGCUCGAAAGUGUGGGGAGCAAACAGGAUUCGAUACCCUUGUAGUC
rnacentral:rRNA from 1 species